CUUGGUGGAGUUUCAAGAUGCUGAUGAACUUAAGGUCUGGCGCUUGAAAGAAUCAGUGAAGCUUUUCAAGUAGAGGAGUGGUGUUUCCAGUGAAAUCUAUGGCAAGAUGGUUUGGGGUCACUAUCUACAUGAACUGCCAAGUUGGAAAAUCAAAAAUACAUCAAAAUCACUCUUGGGACAUAAGUCACGGAAGUGACUCAUGCACACAAUAAAUACCCAAGAAGCAGGACCAGACGGCAGUUGUGUAUUGGCACGCUCAUCAGUGCUGCAAAAAUUCCCCUUCUGGAUGGC
rnacentral:lncRNA from 1 species